rfam:Rhodnius prolixus Rhodnius_prolixus-3.0.3-36.98, whole genome shotgun sequence.
AUAUCGGUUUUUUUAGAAACCAUUCUUUUUUGCUUGUAAAGCGAUGU